GCAAAAAGGACUGGGAGAGAGAGGGGAGCACACGGAAGACGAUGGCGGGCUUGAGAAGGCAGCACGGCGGCUGUAGAGAGGUGGUCGACGACGAGCAGCGGAGUGAGAGCACCGGCGAGCAAUUGCCGCGGCGGGAGCGCGAGAGGGAGGGGGAAAAGAGGGUGGCGAGGUGGCUCACCGCAACGUGAAGCUUGAGCGGCGCACGGACGUCGAGGAGAGGCGGCGGAGCAGCGGAUCCACUGCGAGCCCGAGAGCUCGGGACAGCAGCGGCGCAAGCGAGAGGGAGAGUGAGCGAGCGAAAGCGAGGGAGGAGUGACGGGGAGUGCAGCGUGGCUCGGGUACGCCUUAUACAGGUCGAGGGAGGGAGAGCAAAGGCCGGCGGCAGGGGAGGGGCGAAGCUCGACGGUCGGCCAUGAUGGCCAUAAUGGCGGUGGCCGUUUGCUGCGAAGGGAAGGAGGGAAGACGAGAGGGUUUAGGGCGGCUCAUCUGGAGCAUUGAAGAGGGCGGUGGGUGCAGAGGGGAGGGAGGCGAGCGGGCGCGAGGGAGGGGAACAACCGGCGGCGUGCGUUUCGGUAGGGAGAAGGAGCCGGCUGGAGGUGGAAGACGGGGCUGACUGGUGAGACCCACCUGUCAGUGGCCAGUGAGAGAAGAGGGAGGUGGAUUGGGCUGGCAAGCGACCUAGGCCGAGCGCGGGUGUGGGCCGAGCGGGAAAAGGGAGGAAAAGAGAGAGAGAGGGAGAGAAGGAAAGAGAGUCGGGCUGGGCUGGCUGGGAGAGAUAGGAAAAGAGAGAGAGAUGAGAUGGGCCGGAUGAAACAAAAGAUUUUUUUAGGGUGUUACAAGCAUUUAUUUGUCAUUUUCUUUCUUUUGUGCCAGCUUCUCAAGCCAAAUGACACUAGAAAGUGUUUGGACUCCUCUUAUUAAACAAAUAGUAAAGCAAGAUAACUGAUGGAUUGAGCAUCAUCUCAGUGAAGAAUAGAAUGGGAAUCUCUCAUCUCAGUCUUUUGAUAGCAUAUAUGAUAUCUCUUGUGUUUCCCUUGUCAGGCCAGUGAAGAUUCAGCUUGUAUCUUCUUAUUACCGAGUCCAAGUUCAGAACAGUCAUCUUGAGGCCAGCUUGGAGCCUUGAACUGAUGUUGGCUACAUUAGCUUUCAAAUCUCAUUUUACCGUUAUUAGGAGGUACGGCUCUUAGAACGCAAUAUUGUGAAGUUCUUGUGAAUGUUGUGCAGAAGGUCACGGCAGUUCGAGAGGAAAUGGGAAUAGGAUUUUUUGGAAUAGGCAUCGAGUAAUAUGUUGUCUUAUUUUUAUUUCUGCAUAGUGGAUUUGUAUGAGUUCAAUAGAUUAGGACUACAUUUGUAAUGUAUAGAGUGGAUAAAGCAUGUGAAUUUGUAAUAUAAAUAAUGGAUAAACAUGUGUAUAUGUGAUGUU